GACGAACGCUGGCGGCGUGCUUAACACAUGCAAGUCGAACGGAAAGGCCCUGCUUUUGUGGGGUGCUCGAGUGGCGAACGGGUGAGUAACACGUGAGUAACCUGCCCUUGACUUUGGGAUAACUUCAGGAAACUGGGGCUAAUACCGGAUAGGAGCUCCUGCUGCAUGGUGGGGGUUGGAAAGUUUCGGCGGUUGGGGAUGGACUCGCGGCUUAUCAGCUUGUUGGUGGGGUAGUGGCUUACCAAGGCUUCGACGGGUAGCCGGCCUGAGAGGGUGACCGGCCACAUGGGGACUGAGAUACGGCCCAGACUCCUACGGGAGGCAGCAGUGGGGAAUAUUGCACAAUGGGCGGAAGCCUGAUGCAGCAACGCCGCGUGCGGGAUGACGGCCUUCGGGUUGUAAACCGCUUUCGCCUGUGACGAAGCGUGAGUGACGGUAAUGGGUAAAGAAGCACCGGCUAACUACGUG
rnacentral:rRNA from 1 species